AAGUAAGAACACAUGUACACGAAUAUAGCUUGCUUAUAAACUGUCCAAUUGAUUGAAGCCAAUAUUCAGAACGUAUACGCGAGCCAACCUGCUCACUCACAUCCCAUCUAAGCCCUCAAGAUCUCCCCAGUUCAUCAACCCAACCUUUGAGCAUUUCCAAAUCAACAUGAAGAUUGCAACGACAUGUCUUUUGGUCACUUUAUUGAUUUUUAUCCAAGGACAAGUUGGUAAAUCCCAUUUCGCCACCUUUCAUCAAGGAACUGACUCGUUAAAGAGUGAUACCCCAAGAGUCUCCGUCGACGAACUGAAUGAUCAUUUGGAAUUCGAUGAGGGUUCCGGAAUAAUGGAACGAUGUUAAAUGUGCCAGAAUGUCCCGGAAAUGGCUAUCUAAUGUUUACCAUUUCCCUGCCGAAUCCGAGAGGAUGUUACAUUUUCCAGACCACUGGAUUCAACAUGAAUGGAUAUACGAAUAGUUCAGGUGCUUUUCGAUACCAUUGCGCUUACACCAUUCAGAUACUUUGUUCUUGUUUCAAAGUUUUUGCUUGCACACAUAGCCUUUAAGGAUGGCUCUUAGAUUUCAGUGUGUAGGAUAAUGUCUAAAUGGAAAUCGGGCCCACGAUGAAAAUGUUGAUUUGUGACGGCUUUGUUGUCAAAUUUCCCCGUAGAUUUUUGAUAUUGGGUCACUUUGACGAGCUCUUCAAAUUGGAAACCCCAAUUCAAACCAAUUCAUUCUGAAGUUUUUUUUAAUCAAUUGCAAUUCCUGCCAAGGUAUUGAGCUCAGAAUAAUGGUCUCCGUUUGAAAAGAUUGAAAGUAAAUGCGUAGAUCCAAAACAAUCACAUUUUCAGAUCAUUUUGAAACUCUUUCGAUGGAGAACACAUGAAAUUGCAUUCCCUUAAUGAUGAAACGCUUAAUUAUGUAUUGUUUUUCUAUUUCGCUUCCAUUUCAAUUAUGUCAUUUCAGUUUGGGGCUAAUGUAAAUGGAACAGUGACCAUUAAAGAAAAAGAUUUUCAGUUCCAAGAACCGGACAGUGGUGGAAGAUGCGUUGAUUAUUUAUUAGUUUUUGGUGUCAACGAUCAACAACAAGAAAACGACAAUAGUGACUCCGAUGACCGAGAUGCGCGUACAAAUAUCGUGAAAUAUUGUGGCACGAUUACAGGAGACAAGAUCCGCGAUUUCUCUAACUCUCAGCUUGACAUUCAAUUUGGCGCCGACCACACAGAGAACGGCAACGGAGCCGAGAUUGUUAUCUGCAUUGAUUAAAAGAGUUGGGGGUCAAAAGCCCGAUUCAAUGUAUUGACCACUUUAUGAACUUUUAAGUGAUUAUUGGUUUAUUGGUUUUUCUUUUAAUUUGACCGACUUCAUCAUUUCGAAAAUGCAUUAAUAAAUCCUUGGAAGGUC